rnacentral:rRNA from 1 species
CCUACGGGGGGCUGCAGUGAGGAAUAUUGGUCAAUGGGCGUAAGCCUGAACCAGCCAAGUCGCGUGAGGGAUGAAGGUUCUAUGGAUCGUAAACCUCUUUUAUAAGGGAAUAAAAUGUGGGACGUGUCCUAUUUUGUAUGUACCUUAUGAAUAAGGAUCGGCUAACUCCGUGCCAGCAGCCGCGGUAAUACGGAGGAUCCGAGCGUUAUCCGGAUUUAUUGGGUUUAAGGGGUGCGUAGGUGGCUUUUUAAGUCAGAGGUGAAAGUUUGUGGCUCAACCGUAGAAUGGCAGUUGAAACUGGGAGGCUUGAGUAUAUUAGAGGUGGGCGGAAUGCGGGGUGUAGCGGUGAAAUGCUUAGAUAUCACGAAGAACCCCGAUUGCGAAGGCAGCUCACUGGACUGUAACUGACACUGAGGCUCGAAAGCGUGGGGAUCAAACAGGAUUAGAUACCCGAGUAGUC